GACGAACGCUGGCGGCGUGCCUAAUACAUGCAAGUAGAACGCUGAAGGAGGAGCUUGCUUCUCUGGAUGAGUUGCGAACGGGUGAGUAACGCGUAGGUAACCUGCCUGGUAGCGGGGGAUAACUAUUGGAAACGAUAGCUAAUACCGCAUAAUAGUAGAUGUUGCAUGACAUUUGCUUAAAAGGUGCAAUUGCAUCACUACCAGAUGGACCUGCGUUGUAUUAGCUAGUUGGUGGGGUAACGGCUCACCAAGGCGACGAUACAUAGCCGACCUGAGAGGGGGAUCGGCCACACUGGGACUGAGACACGGCCCAGACUCCUACGGGAGGCAGCAGUAGGGAAUCUUCGGCAAUGGACGGAAGGCUGACCGAGCAACGCCGCGUGAGUGAAGAAGGUUUUCGGAUCGUAAAGCUCUGUUGUAAGAGAAGAACGAGUGUGAGAGUGGAAAGUUCACACUGUGACGGUAUCUUACCAGAAAGGGACGGCUAACUACGUG
rnacentral:rRNA from 1 species